rnacentral:misc_RNA from 1 species
GAGAAGAACGCAGCGAAAUGCGAUAAGUAAUGUGAAUUGCAGAAUUCAGUGAAUCAUCGAAUCUUUGAACGCACCUUGCACCCUUUGGCAUUCUGAAGGGUAUGCUCGUUUGAGUGUCAUUGUACUCUCACACUCCCGAUCUUUGCAUUGGGAGCAGUGGACUUGGGUUUGCUGCUUCACCGUCGCUUACCUCAAAUAGGUUAGUGCAACUCUUGGUUGGACAUAGUACGGCGUGAUAAGUGUUCUUCGCCGGUGCCUCGCAAAGAGGGUGGCCGAUCGGGAUGUUGUGCUCCAAACCGUCUUCGGACAAUCUCUGACGACUUGACCUCAAAUCGAGUAAGACUACCCGCUGAACUUAAGCAUAUCAAUAAGCGGAGGA